CGUAGGCGGCUAGGUAAGUCCGACGUGAAAUCUGGAGGCUCAACCUCCAGCGGUCGUUGGAAACUACUUGGCUAGAGUCCGGAAGAGGAGAGUGGAAUUCCUGGUGUAGCGGUGAAAUGCGCAGAUAUCAGGAAGAACACCGAUGGCGAAAGCAGCUCUCUGGGACGGUACUGACGCUGAGGCGCGAAAGCGUGGGAGCGAACA
rnacentral:rRNA from 1 species